AGAAGAAUGAAAAAUGAAAAGG
rnacentral:sRNA from 1 species